UACUAAAAAUUGAACCUGUAAGGUCCAAGUUGUUGAUAAAAGUCGACUAAGGGACAACAAAGAUAAAACCACAAAAUACCAAGUCUUAAUUCUGCAAGAUGAAGAGGAGAAUCAAGUUCAGGCCACUAUUUUCAGUACUGAUAUAACAUAUUUUG